AGAGGGGGAGAUAUCCUCAGCUCCGGAUGGCCGACAGUUGCACUUUGUGCGCGGAGCAGACGCAAGAAAGCAAUCUCAAUCUGCAGCCGUGGAGCCGUUGCUCCCUCUCUCUCUCUCUUUCUCUCUCUCUCUCUCUCUCUCUCUCUCCUUCUCCUCCACACUGACAAGGGGGCUCGUCCGAGGCUGCGAGCGGGAGUGGACCGCCUCCUCCCCUUCCAGCCCGGCCGGUAGGAGGGUCUUUAGCAGCUCUGUGAGAGAGAGGGAUCCACACACGGACCAGCGGGCUGCAGCGUUUCCACAACCUGGGAGGACGCACGCAAGAGGAGUGGAAACGGAGGGGGGAUGCGUGGGGGGGAGACGGUGUCAGUGCGAGCGUUCGAUUCCCCCUACUGGUUGCACACGGAGCUACCGGCUGGAGCACACUGUCCUCACGUGAAGGGUUGGAUUUUAUCUCAAAUACAGGGAAGUUGGAUUUACAGACUUUGAUGUUCAACGUUUUAGAAUCUGUGUUUGUUUGUAUAUGUUAAGGAUGAUGCCUACUUUAAUAGCUUGAUUGUGUGUGGUUUAGAGAACAUAAAACUAGUAAAUAGGCGUGUCUCACGACGGGGUCAACAAGUCUUCACUUUUAAGAGCCAAGAUCACAAAGACGACAUGAAAAGCCAGCAGCCGCAAUCUGAAAGCACUCACAAGGGAGGUGAGGAGGAAACCACUUCCAGUGCAACAUCAAAAGACGUCAACAGAUGAAUCUUUUGAUUGACCGUGACCAAAAACAUUGCAAGAAUGUCCCGUCAGCGAGCAACCUCAGCUCCUCUCGUACUUCUCUGAGGAUCAAAAACAUGCGGGGGAAAAAGCAUGAUGCUCCCAACAUCCUCCUUUUUUCAUUUCAUCACACAGACACACAAACUAACCUUAAGCUCCUGGCGCUACCUCAGCGAAUGUUCCUGAGCCUAAUUUUACACAAUUAGCAAAUCGACUUGUUUUUCAUUUUAAUCUUCUGACAGGGGUCCCGCUGAAAACACACACACACACACACACACACACACAGAUUUCCACAUCUGAAAAUAGUCCAGAGUUUACCUUCCCAAACAAUAAUAACCAAAUUAUGGAUGUGUAACACGACACAGAUAAGAGAGUUCAGCUGUGGAGAGUACGCCGUCUUGGUGUACUGAUCGUUACUUGUGCUGCAUCAAUACGUAUUACGUUGUAAGUGCUGUUGUACUGAAAUGACUAUCUGAGGAAUGUAUUGAUCUCCUGAAAGCAAUCCAUCAAUGAUCAUUAUGCAAAAUGUAAUAGUAGAGACUCAGAAGGGGAAAAAAAAGGAAAAUUGAAUCAAAUUAAGUUUUGUAACAUUCUGUAAAAACUCAGGUAAUAAGGGUGAUGUACAAAGAAAUCUAUGUCUCCUUAGAGGCGCCGUUGUUUUCUCAAUCGCUCACACUCUAAAUUGUGCAAAUGUUUGUUUGUUUUUUAAUUUUGAUUAGAGCUAUGUGUGUA